ACCUACGGGGGGCAGCAGUGGGGAAUAUUGGGCAAUGGGCGCAAGCCUGACCCAGCAACGCCGCGUGAAGGAAGAAGGCUUUCGGGUUGUAAACUUCUUUUCUCAGGGACGAAGAAAGUGACGGUACCUGAGGGAUAAGCCACGGCUAACUACGUGCCAGCAGCCGCGGUAAUACGUAGGUGGCAAGCGUUAUCCGGAUUUAUUGGGUGUAAAGGGCGUGUAGGCGGGAGCGAAAGUCAGAUGUGAAAACUCAGGGCUCAAACCUGAGCCCGCAUU
rnacentral:rRNA from 1 species